rnacentral:lncRNA from 1 species
UGUGGGCUGGGUUUUGCCAAUUGCGAUCCCUAGACAAAACACCAAAACGAGCAAGGGCGAAUUCGCAUCACUGCGAAUUCCAAACAAGAGAGCAAACGCAAAGAGAAGACGAAGGAGAGCGAGAUGAGAGCGAGAGCGGACAACCGCUCGGCGAGAGAGCGCCGAGGGGAGUUUCUAUCCAACCUCCGACGUAAAAGGUUGUGUGCGAGACCAGACGACGAACGACGCAGAUAUCUAAUUCUUGUACCGUUAUACCAUACUUAAUCACUUAUUAACCUUUACUUAUAAACAAUAAACAUAAACCCCCACAUUUUUGGAGGCUCGUCCCUGGGAUUUGAAGUAAGAUUUAAAGAAGGCUCCACAUUUUUGGAGGCUCGUCCCGUGGAUUGAAGUAAGAUUUAAAGAAGGCCCCACAUUUUUUGAGGCUCGUACGUGUGUGAAGGAACAUCGUGUGAAGAAUAAGUGAAAAACUAUAAGUAACUGUACGACGACGACGGCGGUGCAAGAAACGUUAUUUCUGAAAACGACGCGGAUAUUAACAAGUUUAAAAAAGCAGAGUAAUCUAAAUAGACGAUUUUUUUUUUAUCUCAGCAAAAUGACGUGUUUAAACGAGUUAAUUCCGAAAAGCCUACGAGGAGCAACGAAAUCCAGCAUUUGUGCAUUACACAAAUUUGUGUAUGAGAGAGAAGGAGACAGAGGUAACCGAGGCCGGCUGCGCGAAUUUAGUGGAUUCGAAUACGACGAAAACGACGCCAGAUUUUAAGCGAAGCGCACAUACAUACAAGCGGAGCUGACGGACCGUGAUCUUGUUUCAGUAUGUGUGAUAUUGAGUUUAAAUCAAAAUGCAGAAAAUUUGAUGCUACACAUAUUUCGCAAUCUGAUGAAAGGCAAGCUGUUGACAAGCAACAACAACGACGACGAAAACGACGAAGACGACGACAAUGAUGAAGAGAAUGAUGAAGACGCAAACGAUGAAGACGAAAACGAAGAUCAAGAGAACGACGUGUUUCGCAGUGUUUGCGAGAUACGCACGUGUGAGGGAGACAACUAUAGCAACAUGCACACAAGACGACAAGAAAAUAGACGCCGAAGCAACGUACAAAGGGAAAACUACGAUGAGCAGGUCGCACCCCGAUUUGCUAUAAGUUUUCGCGAUAUUGAGGAGUCUAUCCGAAUGUUUGACGGCUCUGACCAGAUAGCUGUCGAAGAAUGGAUAGCAGAGUUUGAAGAGCAGGCUGAGUUCAUGCGUUGGACUAAUUUACAGAAACUUAUUUUUGCGAAGAAGUCUUUGAAAGGCAUUGCCAAAUUAUUUGUUUUAAGCGAAAAACAUUUGAACUCAUGGGAAACAUUGAAGUUUGCGCUGUUGAAUGAGUUUCAGUCGAAGGUAAAUAGCAAACAGAUACACAUGCAACUCAACGAGAGUAAACGACGACCGAAAGAGAAUGUUCUGGAAUAUUUUUAUCGCAUGAGAGAUAUUGCUGCAAGAGGAAAUGUCGAAGACGACGCACUUAUGCAAUACGUGAUUGACGGUGUCGACGAGAUGGCAUUAAAUAAAUCUAUUUUAUAUGGUGCGAAAAAGAUGUCUGAUUUUAAGGACAAAUUAAAAGAUUAUGAGAAAAUAAACGAGAAAAUAAAAAAGAGUGAGAAGACGGGAAGAGAUAAGAAGAUGUCGGUUGGACAAAAUUAUACCCAGACUGGCAAAAAAGACGUCGUGUGUUACAACUGCGGAGAGAAGGGUCAUGUGUCUAGCAGUUGCUCGAGCAAAGAGAAGGGAAAAAAGUGCUUCAAGUGCAAUCAGUUUGGGCACAUUUCAAAGAAUUGCAAGGAGAAAAGUGAGAAGGCAAACGAAGAAAAACAAAACUUGCGUGUAAUUUUGAAUAGAGCGGAAUUGACAUCCAAAGAAGUUUCGAUUAAAAAUAUGAAAUGUAUGGCACUAUUUGACACUGGCAGUAAAUUCAAUAUUUUGCGCGAAGACUUUUACGACGAACUGUGUAUGCCAAAAUUAAAGAACUGCAGAGUGCGCUUGGUCGGUUUCGGAAGUGAAAGCAAGGCUGACAAUAUCAAGCCGAUUGGUCAAGUAGAACAUAGCAUACGUAUUGACGACGAAGAAUAUGUUUUGACAUUUUAUGUUGUUGCUGCUAAGUUCAUGGAUAUUAAGCUGAUAAUCGGGGAAGAGCUUUGUUUGCACGCAGAAGUAUCAUUUAAUCGCCAUGGAGUAAAAGUUAAUAAAAUGCCAAAUGAAAAUAACGAAGAUGCGUAUGACGAAGCGUCCAUAAUGAAAAUCGACGUAGCGGUG